rnacentral:rRNA from 1 species
CAACAUGACUGACAAUGAUCUUAUCAAUAUUCUGGACCCUUUUUAUCAUCUUUCAACUAAAAGUUUCAAAACACAACUUUUAUCACAAUCCAGAACUGACACCAACAAAAAUAUUAAAACAAAACACCCCUGGAGAAACAAAAUGAACGAAAAUUUAUUUACCUCUUUUAUUACCCCUGUAAUUUUAGGUCUCCCCUCUCGUAACCCUUAUCGUACUAUUCCCAAGCCUACUAUUCCCAAAAUCAAACGACUAGUAAAGCAAAUCGCUUUGGUAACCCUCCAAACAAUGAAUACUUCAACUUGGUAUCAAAACCAAAUAAUGAGUAUCCACAAUUCUAAAGGACCAAACAUGAACAUUAAAUAUUAAUAUCUCUGAUCCUAUUUAUUGGAUCAACAAACCUACUAGGCCUAUUAUCGCCCAUUCAUUCACACCAACAACACAACUAUCAAUAAACCUAGGCAUAGCCAUCCCCCUGUGAGCAGGAGCCGUAAUUACAGGAUUCCGCAAUAAAACUAAAGCAUCACUUGCCCAUU